GUACCUUUCUCGGCCUUUUGGCUAAGAUCAAGUGUAGUAUCCGUUCUUAUCGGUUUAAUAUCUGAUAUGUGAGUCAUCGAUUCACACGAUAUUAAUUCUAUUUUUUAAGGGGGGAGGUCCACCACGGGAGCUUGCUAUAUCGGGUACUUCAAUCGUCGCCUUGGUGUUGUACUACUGCCUUGGCCUGGCGCCCCCCAC